CCUGAAGCCCAAAGUUCCAAGCCAAACUAAGAAGUGGGGUGUAUCAUGGUUGUGGGGUGUUAUGGCAACAUCCAUGGGCUAACAGGCUCAGAAGGCCCAUAUUGUAUGCCAAAGAGAGGGGGAGUCCUUAGCAUGGAAGCACACACGCUCUUUUUUUCCUAAACCUCUCUCUCCCUAAGGUGAAACCUGGUGACUCCUCCUCCGCGUCAGAAAUCGCCUCUGGCAGCUGCGGAGCUUCAAAUGUCCUUAACCUUCCAUGAAAACCAUCGCAUUUACAUCCUUUCUCCUAAUAUUAUGUUGUCUUUCUUUGAUUCCUCCCACAGAACUCAAAUCGAAGAACUGUAUAAACCCUAAAUCUUCAAAUCCCAAUUAAAUGCAAGUGAUGCCUAAUAUGAACCUUAAAACUUAGGUUUAUAGAUAUUAUAUGUUAAUGUUAUCAUCUGGUAACGAGAAAUGGACAAAACCAAAGAGUUUGAAGGAGAUGAACCAACCUUCGAAGCGGUGAAUUGCUCUGGUCAAGGUUGCAAGACUUUGAAGACGAAGAUGAUAAGAAAACCAGAAAUGCUUCGGAUAAGGCAAGGUUGGAUUGAAGGCUUAAUCAAGGCAUGUGGCUUUCGUACAAAGACCAAGAACCAUGAAGAACAAGACUAGGGAUAGCUUGGGAGUGAAUAUAGUGUUGUAAUUAGGGUUAUAGUUAGAAAGUUGACUUUGGUCAGUUGGUUGACCAAAAAGUCAAUAGUUGACCGAAGUCAACUGUAGGUCAAGGCUAUUUUUUUGUGUAAAGUCUGAUAAUUUGUUUCUUUUGUGAUGUAACUCGAUUUUUAGCAAUGAAAAUAACUUUUUGGAUGAA